rnacentral:rRNA from 1 species
AGCGGACCGACGGGAGCUUGCUCCCUUAGGUCAGCGGCGGACGGGUGAGUAACACGUGGGUAACCUGCCUGUAAGACUGGGAUAACUCCGGGAAACCGGGGCUAAUACCGGAUGCUUGAUUGAACCGCAUGGUUCAAUCAUAAAAGGUGGCUUUCAGCUACCACUUACAGAUGGACCCGCGGCGCAUUAGCUAGUUGGUGAGGUAACGGCUCACCAAGGCGACGAUGCGUAGCCGACCUGAGAGGGUGAUCGGCCACACUGGGACUGAGACACGGCCCAGACUCCUACGGGAGGCAGCAGUAGGGAAUCUUCCGCAAUGGACGAAAGUCUGACGGAGCAACGCCGCGUGAGUGAUGAAGGUUUUCGGAUCGUAAAACUCUGUUGUUAGGGAAGAACAAGUACCGUUCGAAUAGGGCGGCACCUUGACGGUACCUAACCAGAAAGCCACGGCUAACUACGUGCCAGCAGCCGCGGUAAUACGUAGGUGGCAAGCGUUGUCCGGAAUUAUUGGGCGUAAAGCGCGCGCAGGCGGUUUCUUAAGUCUGAUGUGAAAGCCCCCGGCUCAACCGGGGAGGGUCAUUGGAAACUGGGGAACUUGAGUGCAGAAGAGGAGAGUGGAAUUCCACGUGUAGCGGUGAAAUGCGUAGAGAUGUGGAGGAACACCAGUGGCGAAGGCGACUCUCUGGUCUGUAA